CGGUAUUGCCUCAGCGAAAUGCCAACCCAAAAGAUAACAUAACGGAACACUCCUCGCUGGAGUGGGGCCACGCCGACCCGACAGGUGCGCCCCUACGCAAGGCAGCGCUUCGCUCGGACAGCGACAGGGGACUGUGGAGUCUUCGACAGCAAGUGACAACAAUUACAGAUAAUGGCUGCAAAAAGGAAGUCAACAAAUACAAGUGAUACAUUUCAGCAUGAUUGAGAAGGAAAUUCUGCCAAUUCUGCGCACAAAGGUGUACCCUUCUAUGGAAACGAACCAAACUCAAUCCAAGGGCUUUUCUGUGUCCAUGGAUAACAGAACGGCAAUGCCUCCCGAAACUGUAGCGCAAUCUCCGCCUCCGCCUCCGCCACCGUCUCUGCCCCGGCAUUCCGAUACGCAAUUACAUUAAGAGCAGAGAGCUAAUUAGCUUCCAGUACGCCCCCCGAACUGGUUGCGGUGCCCUGGCAGAGAUACGCACGGCACAGCAGAAUACCAUCAGGGUCGGUGCUGCCGUAGUGCCAGAUAAAGACAGCAUUUCGAUUUGUCAACAAAACAAUAGUGUUUUUUUGUUGUUGUUUUCUUAGCAAA